AGCGUACACGGUGGAUGCCCUGGCAGUCAGAGGCGAUGAAGGACGUGCUAAUCUGCGAUAAGCGUCGGUGAGGUGAUAUGAACCGUUAUAACCGGCGAUUUCCGAAUGGGGAAACCCAGUGUGUUUCGACACACUAUCAUUAACUGAAUCCAUAGGUUAAUGAGGCGAACCGGGGGAACUGAAACAUCUAAGUACCCCGAGGAAAAGAAAUCAACCGAGAUUCCCCCAGUAGCGGCGAGCGAACGGGGAGGAGCCCAGAGCCUGAAUCAGUGUGUGUGUUAGUGGAAGCGUCUGGAAAGGCGCGCGAUACAGGGUGACAGCCCCGUACACAAAAAUGCACAUAUUGUGAGCUCGAUGAGUAGGGCGGGACACGUGGUAUCCUGUCUGAAUAUGGGGGGACCAUCCUCCAAGGCUAAAUACUCCUGACUGACCGAUAGUGAACCAGUACCGUGAGGGAAAGGCGAAAAGAACCCCGGCGAGGGGAGUGAAAAAGAACCUGAAACCGUGUACGUACAAGCAGUGGGAGCCUCUUAAUGGGGUGACUGCGUACCUUUUGUAUAAUGGGUCAGCGACUUAUAUUCUGUAGCAAGGUUAACCGAAUAGGGGAGCCGAAGGGAAACCGAGUCUUAACUGGGCGUUAAGUUGCAGGGUAUAGACCCGAAACCCGGUGAUCUAGCCAUGGGCAGGUUGAAGGUUGGGUAACACUAACUGGAGGACCGAACCGACUAAUGUUGAAAAAUUAGCGGAUGACUUGUGGCUGGGGGUGAAAGGCCAAUCAAACCGGGAGAUAGCUGGUUCUCCCCGAAAGCUAUUUAGGUAGCGCCUCGUGAAUUCAUCUCCGGGGGUAGAGCACUGUUUCGGCAAGGGGGUCAUCCCGACUUACCAACCCGAUGCAAACUGCGAAUACCGGAGAAUGUUAUCACGGGAGACACACGGCGGGUGCUAACGUCCGUCGUGAAGAGGGAAACAACCCAGACCGCCAGCUAAGGUCCCAAAGUCAUGGUUAAGUGGGAAACGAUGUGGGAAGGCCCAGACAGCCAGGAUGUUGGCUUAGAAGCAGCCAUCAUUUAAAGAAAGCGUAAUAGCUCACUGGUCGAGUCGGCCUGCGCGGAAGAUGUAACGGGGCUAAACCAUGCACCGAAGCUGCGGCAGCGACACUAUGUGUUGUUGGGUAGGGGAGCGUUCUGUAAGCCUGUGAAGGUGGCCUGUGAGGGUUGCUGGAGGUAUCAGAAGUGCGAAUGCUGACAUAAGUAACGAUAAAGCGGGUGAAAAGCCCGCUCGCCGGAAGACCAAGGGUUCCUGUCCAACGUUAAUCGGGGCAGGGUGAGUCGACCCCUAAGGCGAGGCCGAAAGGCGUAGUCGAUGGGAAACAGGUUAAUAUUCCUGUACUUGGUGUUACUGCGAAGGGGGGACGGAGAAGGCUAUGUUGGCCGGGCGACGGUUGUCCCGGUUUAAGCGUGUAGGCUGGUUUUCCAGGCAAAUCCGGAAAACCAAGGCUGAGGCGUGAUGACGAAGCACUACGGUGCUGAAGCGACAAAUGCCCUGCUUCCAGGAAAAGCCUCUAAGCAUCAGGUAACAUCAAAUCGUACCCCAAACCGACACAGGUGGUCAGGUAGAGAAUACCAAGGCGCUUGAGAGAACUCGGGUGAAGGAACUAGGCAAAAUGGUGCCGUAACUUCGGGAGAAGGCACGCUGAUAUGUAGGUGAAGCGACUUGCUCGUGGAGCUGAAAUCAGUCGAAGAUACCAGCUGGCUGCAACUGUUUAUUAAAAACACAGCACUGUGCAAACACGAAAGUGGACGUAUACGGUGUGACGCCUGCCCGGUGCCGGAAGGUUAAUUGAUGGGGUUAGCGGUAACGCGAAGCUCUUGAUCGAAGCCCCGGUAAACGGCGGCCGUAACUAUAACGGUCCUAAGGUAGCGAAAUUCCUUGUCGGGUAAGUUCCGACCUGCACGAAUGGCGUAAUGAUGGCCAGGCUGUCUCCACCCGAGACUCAGUGAAAUUGAACUCGCUGUGAAGAUGCAGUGUACCCGCGGCAAGACGGAAAGACCCCGUGAACCUUUACUAUAGCUUGACACUGAACAUUGAGCCUUGAUGUGUAGGAUAGGUGGGAGGCUUUGAAGUGUGGACGCCAGUCUGCAUGGAGCCGACCUUGAAAUACCACCCUUUAAUGUUUGAUGUUCUAACGUUGGCCCGUAAUCCGGGUUGCGGACAGUGUCUGGUGGGUAGUUUGACUGGGGCGGUCUCCUCCUAAAGAGUAACGGAGGAGCACGAAGGUUGGCUAAUCCUGGUCGGACAUCAGGAGGUUAGUGCAAUGGCAUAAGCCAGCUUGACUGCGAGCGUGACGGCGCGAGCAGGUGCGAAAGCAGGUCAUAGUGAUCCGGUGGUUCUGAAUGGAAGGGCCAUCGCUCAACGGAUAAAAGGUACUCCGGGGAUAACAGGCUGAUACCGCCCAAGAGUUCAUAUCGACGGCGGUGUUUGGCACCUCGAUGUCGGCUCAUCACAUCCUGGGGCUGAAGUAGGUCCCAAGGGUAUGGCUGUUCGCCAUUUAAAGUGGUACGCGAGCUGGGUUUAGAACGUCGUGAGACAGUUCGGUCCCUAUCUGCCGUGGGCGCUGGAGAACUGAGGGGGGCUGCUCCUAGUACGAGAGGACCGGAGUGGACGCAUCACUG
rnacentral:rRNA from 1 species